rnacentral:rRNA from 1 species
UACGAAGGGGGCUAGCGUUGCUCGGAAUGACUGGGCGUAAAGGGCGCGUAGGCGGUUUGUACAGUCAGGUGUGAAAUUCCCGGGCUCAACCUGGGGGCGGCACUUGAGACGUAGGAACUGGAGUGAGGAAGAGGGUCGUGGAAUUCCCAGUGUAGAGGUGAAAUUCGUAGAUAUUGGGAAGAACACCGGUGGCGAAGGCGGCAUCCUGGACCGACACUGACGCUGAGGAGCGAAAGCCAGGGGAGCAAACGGGG